CCUCAUGAUCACUGGGUAUAGGAAGUGUGGGUGGACAUCUUAGUAGAAGAAACAGGUGGAGCCUUCUUAGGGAUGAACAUGAGAGGGGUCCAGAUAGACGCCUAUGGGAAGGCCACACCUUGCUAGUCCCACAUUCCGUAGGUGACAAUCCCUACCUUGAUUACCACCAGCACAAUUAUUUUCAACUUCAAGUUGCUCAUAUUCAGCUGUUUUCUCCCAUGAUCUCUUCAGAUCCACAUCCCCAGCAAGUCGUGUGUCCCAGUUUGAACCACCAAACUUUCUAAACAAUUGUGAUUCAUUGGGUCAUGGUGUGAUUAAUUUUUUUUUCAUUUUUGUUUGGCAUUUGAAUCAACUCCCUCUAGGAGUUAUAGCAAUGAUAGAAGAUAAAUGAAACCAUGUUUAUUACAA